GACAGAGGUGCCGAGCGUUAGGCGGAAUCACUGGGCUUAAAGCGUGUGUAGGCGGACCGUUAAGUACCUUGUGAAAUCCCACGGCUCAACCGUGGAACGGCUGGGUAUACUGGCGGUCUUGGGCCACUCAGGGGCGAGCGGAACAAGUGGUGGAGCGGUGAAGUGCGUAGAUAUCACUUGGAACGCCGACGGUGAAAACAGCUCGCUGGGAGUGUGCCGACGCUGAGACACGAAAGCCAGGGGAGCGAACGGG
rnacentral:rRNA from 1 species